rnacentral:rRNA from 1 species
UACGAAGGGUGCAAGCGUUACUCGGAAUUACUGGGCGUAAAGCGUGCGUAGGUGGUUUGUUAAGUCUGUUGUGAAAGCCCCGGGCUCAACCUGGGAAUGGCAAUGGAUACUGGCAGGCUAGAGUGCGGUAGAGGGUAGUGGAAUUCCAGGUGUAGCGGUGAAAUGCGUAGAUAUCUGGAGGAAUACCGGUGGCGAAGGCGGCAUCCUGGACCGACAUUGACGCUGAACGGCGAAAGCUAGGGGAGCAAACGGG